AUAAUGACUAUGAACGGAAGAGUAGUUAUAGCGCGAUAGUAACAGCGAGCUGGGAAUGGUGUGAGCCAGUACUAUCGUAUAUAAUGAAAAUCAUCCGUGAGUUGCGGGCUGAAUUUUUUAGUAAGCUACGCCGGGUUCUCUUCGGAGAAAAUUGCCGCCCGUUACUGCGGCGAGGUAUCGAGGUUAAACUCUGUACCUAUGAGCGGCUAUGGGUGAAAUCCAUAGUAAUUUGGGUGGUAUCGCGGAUUAACCUCCGUCCCUAUG
rnacentral:ncRNA from 1 species